rnacentral:rRNA from 1 species
UACGAAGGGGGCUAGCGUUGCUCGGAAUCACUGGGCGUAAAGCGCACGUAGGCGGCGUCUUAAGUCAGGGGUGAAAUCCUGGAGCUCAACUCCAGAACUGCCUUUGAUACUGAGAUGCUUGAGUCCGGGAGAGGUGUGUGGAACUCCGAGUGUAGAGGUGAAAUUCGUAGAUAUUCGGAAGAACACCAGUGGCGAAGGCGACACACUGGCCCGUUACUGACGCUGAGGCGCGAAAGCGUGGGGAGCAAACAGG